CAAAACAUUGCCUCAUGAUAUAUAAUAUGAGGUAAAUCCUGCCCAGUGAACUAUACUUAAACGGCCGCGGUAUCCUGACCGUGCAAAGGUAGCAUAAUAACUCGCCUCCUAAUUAGAGGCUAGAAUGAAUGGACAAACGAAAGCCAAGCUGUCUCCUAUGUAUUUAUGUAAACUAACCUUCAGGUGAAAAGGCCUGAAUUAUUCUAAAGGACAAAAAGACCCUGUCGAACUUUACUCAAUUUAAAUAAUUUAUAAUACACUACAAUUACUACAUAACUUAAACGAGUUUAGUUGGGGCGACCAAGGACCACUAUCUAAACGUCCUGCUAAAAAAGACUCAAUGUCAAACAAAUGAUCCAUAAUACCAUGAACAACAAACUAAGCUACCGCAGGGAUAACAGACUAAUCCUCCUAAAGAGCCCAAAUUGCCAGGAGGGAUUGGCACCUCGAUGUUGGCUUAGGAAAUCUAUUGAGCGCAGCAGCCCAAUAAAGAAGGUUUGUUCAACCUAUAAAUUCCUACGUGAUCUGAGUUUCAGACCGGA
rnacentral:rRNA from 1 species